CCUACGGGGUGCAGCAGUGAGGAAUAUUGGUCAAUGGGAGAGAUCCUGAACCAGCCAAGCCGCGUGAGGGAAGACGGCCCUAUGGGUUGUAAACCUCUUUUGUCGGAGAACAAAACCCGGGACGUGUCCCGGACUGCGUGUAUCCGAAGAAAAAGCAUCGGCUAACUCCGUUCCAGCAGCCGCGGUAAUACGGAGGAUGCGAGCGUUAUCCGGAUUUAUUGGGUUUAAAGGGUGCGUAGGCGGUCCGUUAAGUCAGCGGUAAAAUUGCGGGGCUCAACCCCGUGGAGCCGUUGAAACUGGCAGACUGGAGUGGGCGAGAGGUACGCGGAAUUCGCGGUGUAGCGGUGAAAUGCAUAGAUAUCGCGCAGAACUCCGAUUGCGAAGGCAGCGUACCGGCGCCAGACUGACGCUGAGGCACGAAAGCGUGGGGAGCGAACAGGAUUAGAUACCCUUGUAGUC
rnacentral:rRNA from 1 species